rnacentral:rRNA from 1 species
CCUACGGGAGGCUGCAGUGGGGAAUAUUGGACAAUGGGCGCAAGCCUGAUCCAGCAAUGCCGCGUGGGUGAAGAAGGUCUUCGGAUUGUAAAGCCCUUUCGACAGGGACGAUGAUGACGGUACCUGUAGAAGAAGCCCCGGCUAACUUCGUGCCAGCAGCCGCGGUAAUACGAAGGGGGCUAGCGUUGCUCGGAAUUACUGGGCGUAAAGGGCGCGUAGGCGGCUCUGUUAGUCAGGCGUGAAAUUCCUGGGCUCAACCUGGGGACUGCGCUUGAUACGGCGGGGCUAGAGUGUGGAAGAGGGUCGUGGAAUUCCCAGUGUAGAGGUGAAAUUCGUAGAUAUUGGGAAGAACACCGGUGGCGAAGGCGGCGACCUGGUCCAUUACUGACGCUGAGGCGCGACAGCGUGGGGAGCAAACAGGAUUAGAUACCCGGGUAGUC